UAGUCCACGCCGUAAACGAUGAACACUAGGUGGGUGCCUUUUUUGCGGGUGCCUGUCGUAGCGAAAGCGUUAAGUGUUCCGCCUGGGGAGUAUGGUCGCAAGGCUGAAACUCAAAGGAAUUGACGGGGGCUCACACAAGCGGUGGAGGAUGUGGUUUAAUUCGAAGCAACGCGAAGAACCUUACCAGGCCUUGACAUCCUGCGAAGUCCGCUGAAAGGCGGAUGUGCCUUCGGGAACGCAGUGACAGGUGCUGCGUGGCUGUCGUCAGCUCGUGCCGUGAGGUGUUAGGUUAAGUCCUUUAACGAGCGAAACCCCUAUUGUUAGUUGCCAGCACGUUAUGGUGGGGACUCUAGCAAGACUGCCGCGUUCAAGUUGGAGGAAGGUGGGGACGACGUCAAGUCGAUCAUGGCCCUUAUGGUCUGGGCUACACACGUCCUACAAUGGUCGGUACAAAGGGUUGCUAAGCCGUGAGGUGGAGCUAAUCCCAUAAAGCCGGCCCCAGUUCAGAUUGCAGGCUGC
rnacentral:rRNA from 1 species